GCUCAAAGAAGCUGAGGGACGGUCAGCACCUCAGGCAAGGGGCUUUGGAGCUGAGCACAGCCCCUUAGCAGCACUCAGGGUCCUCCAGCAGUGACCCAGUGCCCGCAUCUAUGCCAGCCCACAGUGCUAGUAUCCCUCGCAUUCAGCUUCUGUGUGGGGAGAAGCUUGGCCUCCUGCCCAAGACCCCAACUGUGGAGGAGGGAGGUGCCAUCAUCUCCCUAAAAGUAAGGUCACGGGGAGUCCCAUGGUCUGAGGCCUGAGUGAGGCCACGGUCAGCGAUCUCUCCCUUUUCUGCCAAAGAUGGAGCCCCCCAUGCAGAGAACAUAGGUCCUCAUAUGGAGGAAACUCAGACCUCUCCCCACAGCAAGGAAGAGAAGCCCCUGAAUGAAUGGGGAGCAGCCUCUGUGUUUGUUUGUAGGAAAUGGCCAGGAAUCAUCACAUCAAAGUCUCUAUGAAAAACCAAACUCGCCUCCAGAGAGCACUUUCAAUACAGACCACCAAAAUGGCCACCGUCACCUGAGAGCCAGGGAAGCAGGAGAUGCUGUCUACCUGAAACACUGAGUACUUUUGAGGAGGAGAUGAAGACAUUCCACAAUGACAGCACGGUUCAGGAGAAGGAGGCUCAGUGCUGCAAUGUCAUCUUUAAGAAAUCAAUGCCAAAUACAAGAUCAUGAAGAUUUGCCCCUGUUUCCUUCUAUGAGUUUUAUAGUUAUAGCUCUUAAAUGUACGUCUUUGAUCCAUUUUGGGUUAAUUUUUUACAUGAUAUUAGGUU
rnacentral:lncRNA from 1 species